ensembl:lncRNA
AAUGUGACGGUACGUGACAUUGUUUACAAGCUGUUAUGUUGACAUCUUUGCAUGGUUAAAACACUGAUUGAUCGAUUACAUGAGACGGGAUACAGAUUUUGAGAGCAGCCCGUGGAGCCGUCUGAGAUGUUUUAUAAGGUUUUCCACACAGAUGUGACGACCUCAAAAUUUAUUAUGGAUUUUUAACGUCCUGCAGCUGUGACAGCUGCUUCGUGGCGACGAUUUAUCCUGUAAAUUAAGAUGAACUGUUAUUUAUUCUUUAUAUUCAGAUAAUAAAAUAUCAGUGAAAACCA